GAUGAAGAACGUAGCGAAAUGCGAUAAGUAAUGCGAAUUGCAGAAUUUCCGUGAGUCAUCGAAUCUUUGAACGCACAUUGCGCCCACUGGUAUUCCGGUGGGCAUGCCUGUUCGAGCGUCAUUAUCCUCCCUCAAACCCCGGGUUUGGUGUUGGACCCAAGUUGUGUGAACAACUGGUCUCAAAGACAAUGACGGCGUCCGUGGGACCCUCGGUGCAACGAGCUUUUAGGAGCACGCAUCGAGUUGCAAGGACCUUCCGGGCCGGUCUCCUUUACCAUUUUACAAGGUUGACCUCGGAUCAGGUAGGAAUACCCGCUGAACUUAAGCAUAUAAUAAGCGGAGGA
rnacentral:misc_RNA from 1 species